UGAGAAACUACUCCACAUGAACUCCUCCAUAAAAGAAGGAUUAAAGUAUGAUACAAAUCCUUAACUAUCCAGAAGGCUUGACACACUGAGGCAUGACAGGAUCCAAAGAAGAAGUGCUCUAACACAAAAGUUGCUUCCAUAAAGUGACUGGUCAUCUACAGAAGUGUCAGAUGUUAAAAACCAACGUCUCAUUUCACUACUGGACCUAUAAAGAGCUCAGUGCUUUAUGCAACCAGCUCUGUCUCAGAAGAGCCAUAAUGGAUGAAGACUCUUGGAGAGGCUGGAUCCUGCACAGAGACACCAAAGUCAAAAGAGGAAAGGUUCUUUUCACAUUCACCACUUCAGAUUUGCGUCCAUGUGGCUUCAGGAACGAUGACAGAGUAUUAUGAAACAGCAUUUGCAACUACUCUACAACAACUUUACCAGCUGAUUUGAAUCAGAUUCCACCUAGUCUCUCAUUCAACAUCCGAUUUCCUCAUAAAAGAUACACAGAAGAGACUGCUACAUCACUGAAUCGAUCUGAAUUUUCCUCGACCCUCCAGUGUAAAGAUCAACUUAAGCACAGAGGUUCAGAUCUCAUUCAAAUAAUUCAGUCAUGAUUAAAAUAAAUUGGUCAUUUCAAGAAAAAAAAAAACUUUCUAAACAUCUUCAUAAAAGUAUUUUGUAGAAAUGAAUACCUUGCUUCAUUAUGAUUUCUGCUUAAAAAGCAGUAACUUCUAAGUUUUUGGGUUUUUUUUUGACUUAGAUAUUAUAUGAAAUAAGCCAGAGACCUGCUUAGGAGGAGAAAAAAAAAAUAAUGGAAACCAGCCCUUUCCAAAAUGAGAACAGCUUAAAUAAUCGCAGAGAAAAAUUAUACAGAGAUAAUUGCCAGAAUGGCAAAGGCAAUCAAAGGCAAUAACUGACAAAGAAACACUGAAAGUAUUUGACUCAUCAUAGGACAGACAGAAGAACAGAAUAAUGUACAUUAUUUUUAAUUAUUUCUGUACAGAAAUAAAACUUAGCAGGCCAGCAUUUCUAGAAGACAGAGUCACAAGCAACUUCUCACAAAGAAUGUCAAUUAUUACUAAAAAUGAAAAUAUCAGUCACAUGGAGGUGUGUUCUAUUUAGAUGAAAUGAUAUUCAAAUGUAGUUAGUUCUUGGAAAACAUUUUCCUCCUACACACAUUCUUAAAGCUGACUUUUUCAUUAUGGAAAUGAUUACUACUAUUACACUACUUCCAUAUUUCUACAUUGCCACCCCAGUGAUUGAUAUAAUUUACCUUAAUCAGACACUCAAAAAUCGAUGAGCUGCACUGCAGAUAGUUUAAGUCCCAAUAUGCCACUUCUGCAGUAGUGCAGAUUAGUCAGGGGUUACUUUAUCUUUGCAAAACAAGCAAAAAUAUACUACCCGUCCUACACAUAUCUGCAGAUUAAACAUAAAUCAAUAGAAUCUUUUACAGAUAACAGAUUUUAAAAUUCUUUAACAAUACAACUUAUCUGCCAUAAUCCAUACUUAAUUCAAAAAUCAUCUCUAUACUUUGCUGAAGUUGACUUCUCAUGGCUUACAUUGUAAAAAGAUACCAUGCUCACCUAUACUUAGAUCUCUAAACACCAGGAAAAUAUCUAAACUUUCCCCCUGAGAUGACUUCAAUGCCAGUGGGCAUCCCAAUAUUCUUUUUGUAGAAGGGACAGUAAAGGCCAUACAUAAAGCAGAGAACUGCCACACCUCACUUUCAAUUAGAGUCAAAAGUGAUUUUUUGGUCAUGUAGAGUCAGCCAAUUUAACUCUAUACUCGUUCUGUACUUAAUACUGAUAUUACCUAAUCUAUUACAAAAAUUAUACUUAGUGCCACCCUUCACAAUCUACUGAGCUGUGGAGUACAGAGCCCCUGUAAUAUAUUAUCUACAUUUACUUUUUCAUGAGCCUGUACUGACAAGGAUGCUAUGAGAAUAACAGAAAUUCUUAUUAUGAUAAUAAACAUUCAUCUGCCUUUGUGAGAAAAAUCCACAUAACCAACCAAAGAAAUAAUGGAUCUAUACAUUUGUAGAGACACUUCCCAAAGCUCAGUGCUUAUUGAUGUGUUUAUGUAAAUCCCUAAAAUUAACACAGUUCCUGACGGAAUUAGGCUAUGUACAUAUAAAUAGAAGAACACAAUUUCUUUUAGCACUGAAAAUGUGACAUUUGGUUGCUUUUUCUUCAUAUCUGCUUAUUUGGGCAUUUCUGGAUGGACUUCAGUUACAUUUGCUCAGCCAGUGCAGAACCUUACCUCUGUCAAUGGCCUUUGUCAGAGAAUAAUUAAAACCUUUCUACAAGAGAAAAAAUAAAUAAAAGAACAAAUUUAAAACAACAACAACAAAAAGCCCACACAUUGUUUUUCCUGAAUCCCUGAAAAAAAAAAUCUCAAUAUUAUUUUCAAAAGGAAAUUUUCUAGCCAAGAUCAUUCCCUCUAGUCUUUGCAUCUGUGGAAACUUUAGUCAGAUGCUAAGAAUGUAGAAGCAAGAUUCCAACUCCAUGUUUGUCCUUUGUUUAGGAGCAAAACCUAGAGCACCCCAGCACAACCUAGCAAAACCUUGGGAAAACAACAACAACAAGAACAACAACAAACAAUGAAACCCAGGACAACCUGGAACAAACACCCUAAUGCAACCCAGUCACUGAUAUCACUAGUGUAUACCAAUGCUCAAUUCAGGUGAGCAGUUACUCAACCACAUAUUUAAACUAUGACUCUAGUAAUACAUUACCAAUCUCAGAAUGCUUCUCUGUUCAACUCAGUUAUGUAGUUUGAAGUCAAUUACUAGAACAAUUACAUUUUUAAAUAUAGAUCCACAACCACACACAGACCAGAACUGCCUAUGAUACUAUGGUAUCUUUCAGUUCCUUUUACCUCUCCUAUCCUGACACUCUCUGGACCAAGAAUCACUGUACCCUGUGAGUGUCUUGCUCCUGAAGUGUGACUAUUCACAAUAAUCCUGUUUUCAAUAAGAAAUAGCCUCUUUUAAGAUAAUUUCAGAAAGCAUUUCACCUUUAGAGCAUGGAAAAAAUCUGCAACUGAACUUACAAAUUCAUAUUAACCUUAACCACAGCAUUGCUAUCAUUUCACUAUUACUCUACACAUAUUUGUAAAGAUAAUGCUACUUCCUUUCCAUUUUAGUCAGCCUGGCUUGCUGGUGUGACAGCCUAAGGCAAACUCCCUUCAUCAACCCUUUAACUGCAUACCCUUUAACUUGCAUAUCUUUAACAUUAUAUUUAACAACCCUUUAACUUGCAUAUCUUAGGCUUGGUUAAGCAGGAAUACAACUAAUAAUUUUCUUUUGUCUGAGCCUGUUACCAUCAAUGAGAGAAUAUUAAAGUGAGUUUACUAUCCAUAACUCACAGAGCAAUAUCAAAGAAGGAAAAAAUCAUAAAACACCUUUCACUGAAAGACUAAACUACCACUCAUACUACGUAUAAUGAAACUUGUGAAGUAGAGAUUUUGUCAGAAGUGAUAAUCUGAAGUCCUAGAACGGCAGGAAACAAGAGAAAAAAAGAUAACAAAUCAUAAAAAAAAAAAAAAAGAAAAAAAAAAAGCAUGAGACUGCAACAAUAUUUUGUUCUACAAAUUGUAUUUUCAGGAAAGUCAAUGAUCUUUCCAUUGACCCACUGUAUUUCACUAAAUGUCAUUACAUUGAUCUACUUUGAAGAUACAACUUCCUUUUUCUAUGCAGGGGGCAGGAUAGAGGGAAAAUAAACAACAGCAAUAUCUACAACAAAAAGCUGAUUUAGACUCACAUAUACGUAUCACACGUUCUUUAUGUUGUGCUAUUACUUGUGCUUAUAAUAUGCAAGCUCACUUUACCAUGAUUCUGGAAAUCAAAAAAAAAUAAAAUCAGUAUGGUUUUUGCUGUCUUUGAUACUUCAUCCAACUAACCAAAAUCACAGAAUCCCUGAAUGAUUCAGGGUUGGAAAAGAUCACUAAAAGUCAUGUUGUCCAAACUCCCUGCUCAAAAAAGGUCACCUAGAAUAGGUUAUCCAGGACUAUGUCUAGAUCAAAGAACUCUGAAAAAGUGAAGACCAAAUAUUUUCUGAUGCAUUGGAUGUCUCCUGGAUGACUGGAUAAAUGAAAACAAACCUUCUAAAAUCUGUCACCUGCACAUAGUCACAACAUGUUAAGCCAAAAUUCUAUUUUAGGACACAUCUUUUAAACAGCAUUCAAGGAAUUAUCGUGGGUCUUAACUUAAUUUAAAAUGAAGCAGUGUGAUGAGUUCAGAACAGAAGGCCAUUAGAUUCACUUAUCAGCCUAUGGGUGGACACUAUUGGGACUUCAGAUACUUCCAAGUCCUUUUUAAUUCACAGCGGUGGAUGUUUUUUGUUGGUUUCCUUUAUGAAUAAAGAGCCAGGACAACAA